rnacentral:rRNA from 1 species
UGCCAGCAGCCGCGGUAAUACGGAGGAUCCAAGCGUUAUCCGGAAUCAUUGGGUUUAAAGGGUCCGUAGGCGGUCUGGUAAGUCAGAGGUGAAAUCCUGCAGCUCAACUGUAGCAUUGCCUUUGAUACUGAUUGACUUGAGUUAUAUGGAAGUAGUUAGAAUGUGUAGUGUAGCGGUGAAAUGCAUAGAUAUUACACAGAAUACCGAUUGCGAAAGCAGAUUACUAACAAUAUACUGACGCUGAGGGACGAAAGCGUGGGUAGCGAACAGGAUUAGAAA